rnacentral:rRNA from 1 species
UAUUAUUAAUGUACAAAAUAAUUUUGAGUAGUAUAUGAUUUGGUCAGGAAACUUAAAGAAUUUGGCGGUGUUUAUUAUAAUUAGAGGAAUAUGUUUUUAAAAUGAUAAUCCACAAAUAUCUCACUUUAAUAAAUUUAUUAUGUAUAUCUCCGUCUAAAAAAGAUUUUUAAAAAUUUUCUUUUGUAGUUAUAUUUCAGAAUAAGUCAGGUCAAGGUGCAGAUGAUAUUAAAGUUAAAAUGUAUUACAAUAAAAUUAUUUCCGAAUUAAUUAAUAAAAAUGAUUAUGAAGAUGGAUUUAUUAGUAAAUUUCUUUAUAUAAUAACCAAUUGAAUCCUAUUCAUAGACAUGCACGC